rnacentral:rRNA from 1 species
UACGUAGGGGGCUAGCGUUGUCCGGAUUUAUUGGGCAUAAAGAGCGUGUAGGCGGCCAGGUAGGUCUGGUGUGAAAACUCGAGGCUUAACCUCGAGAUGUCAUCGGAAACCAUCUGGCUAGAGUCCGGAAGAGGAGAGUGGAAUUCCUGGUGUAGCGGUGAAAUGCGCAGAUAUCAGGAAGAACACCAAUGGCGAAAGCAGCUCUCUGGGACGGUACUGACGCUGAGACGCGAAAGCGUGGGGAGCGAACAGG